rnacentral:snRNA from 1 species
AUAUUAGCCCGGGGUCAAUGGGCGAUCAUUAAGGCCCAUGGCCUUGGUGACCUCCAUUGCACUUUGGAGGGGUGCCCGCCUAAGGUCGGCCUUAAGUGGCCGAACCUACGUCGCAUUAUUUGGAGGGGGUCAGCGUUCGCGCGGCCCCUA